rnacentral:misc_RNA from 1 species
UCUCCGUAGGUGAACCUGCGGAGGGAUCAUUAAGAAUUGAACAGCAGUGUCUGGCACUGUUGCCCAUUCUAACCCUUUGUGAACUACAACUCUGUUGCUUCGGGGGCGACCCGGCCCUCUGGGCGUCGGGGCCCCCGGUGGCUCACACCUCAACUCUUGCAUCUGUGCGUCUGAGUAACAUAUUGAAUCAAUCAAAACUUUCAACAACGGAUCUCUUGGUUCUGGCAUCGAUGAAGAACGCAGC